GCCCGAGUGGUGAAAUUGGUAUACACGACGGAUUCAAAAUCCGUUUCCGAAAGGAGUGUCGGUUCAAGUCCGACCUCGGGCACCA
rnacentral:tRNA from 6 species